rnacentral:tRNA from 1 species
GGAGGGUCAUAGCUCAGUGGAAGAGCAUCUGCUUUGCAUGCAGAAGAUCCCUGGUUUGAAUCCUGUCAUCUCCU